GGGGAUGUAGCUUAGAUGGUAGAGCGCUCGCUUAGCAUGCGAGAGGUACGGGGAUCGAUGCCCCGCAUCUCCA
rnacentral:tRNA from 1 species